rnacentral:rRNA from 1 species
UACGGGGGGGGCAAGCGUUGUUCGGAAUUACUGGGCGUAAAGGGCUCGUAGGCGGCCAACUAAGUCAGACGUGAAAUCCCUCGGCUUAACCGGGGAACUGCGUCUGAUACUGGAUGGCUUGAGUUUGGGAGAGGGAUGCGGAAUUCCAGGUGUAGCGGUGAAAUGCGUAGAUAUCUGGAGGAACACCGGUGGCGAAGGCGGCAUCCUGGACCAACCCUGACGCUGAGACGCGAAAGCGUGGGGAGCAAACAGG